rnacentral:rRNA from 16 species
GACUCUAAUUUUAAGUACAUACCCUACCUAUUGUACCUGAACGUACUUACUUCGAGAGAGAGCGCCUCACAAACUCCAUAGGGAUUCGUGG